UUUUUGCAUGGCGAACCGUCACCGGAUGGUGUGCCUGUACAAACAAUCGUUUGACUAGCCUGCAAAAACGCC
rnacentral:sRNA from 12 species